AUUAAAGUUGCUGCGGUUAAAAAGCUCGUAGUUGGAUUACGAAGUGGUGUUUAAAUGUCAUUUUGGUUUGUUUGUCUUUCGGGGCAUUCAGGUCAACUUGGCUUUUACUCACUGUUGUCAUUGUCUUUGCCCAAGGUAUAUGCCUUGUGUGCAUGGCAUUGACCUUCUAUUUUAUGGUAAUGUUGUAUCUUUCGGGGUACAUUCAUUCCAUAUAGUUUACCUUGAAAAAAUUAGGGUGUUUAAAGCAGGCGAAAAGGCUUCGGAAUAUAUUAGCAUGGGAUAAUAGAAUACGAUCUAGGUCGUAAUUUGUUGGUUUCUACGGCUUAGGUAAUGAUUGACAGGGAUAGUUGGGGUCGCUCGUAUUGAGUUGUCAGAGGUGAAAUUCUAGGAUUAACUCAAGACGAACUAAUGCGAAAGCAUUCGGCAAGGAUGUUUUCAUUAAUCAAGAACGAAAGUUGGGGGAUCGAAGAUGAUCAGAUACCGUCGUAGUCUCAACUGUAAACUAUGUCGACCGAGGAUCCGGUAGCGUUACAUGGAUGACCUUCCGGGCACUCUGUGAGAAAUCAUAAGUAUUUGGAUUUCGGGGGGAGUAUGGUCGCAAGGCUGAAACUUAAAGGGAUUGACGGAAGGGCACCACCAGGAGUGGAAUCUGCGGCUUAAUUUGACCCAACACGGGAAAACUUACCAGGUCCGGACACAGUGAGGAUUGACAGAUUGAGAGCUCUUUCUUGAUUUUGUGGGUGGUGGUGCAUGGCCGUUUUUAGUUGGUGGAGUGAUUUGUCUGGUUAAUUCCGUUAACGAACGAGACCUUAACCUAUUAAAUAGCUGCGCGAACCCAGGUUCUUUAACCAUUCUCUCCUUCGGGGGGGCGUGGUAUCAUUAUUUUGCUUUUCACUUUCGGGUGGGAGGUAGGGUAGUGAUAGGGCCUGAGAUGAGUUGGUGAUUUGGCUUCUUAGAGGGACUACUUGCAUCCUUAGCAAGGGGAGGUUUGAGGCAAAAACAGGUCUGUGAUGCCCUUCGAUGUUCUGGGCUGCACGCGCGUUACACUGGCGCAUGCAAAGAGUUUAAAAUUACUGUCCCGAUGGGGUUGGUAAAUCUUUUUAAAGUGCGUCGUGAUGGGGAUAGAGCAUUGAAAUUAUUGCUCUUGAACGAGGAAUUCCUAGUAAUUGCAGGUCAUCAACCUGCAAUGAUUACGUCCCUGCCCUUUGUACACACCGCCCGUCGCUCCUACCGAUGGUUGAACCGAUGAGGACUCGGGAUGAUCUUAUUAGAUCGGUCGGUCGAAAGAUCGAUAGACUAUUAGGUCAGAACUUGUUCAAAUCUUUUUAA
rnacentral:rRNA from 1 species